rnacentral:lncRNA from 1 species
UCCGGCUUUACCAAGUGUGUAGAAUCUAGACGCUACCGUGUUUUUACCUCCAAAUUGAAGAGUUCAAGUGCUACCAUUGGUCAAGAAUAAUGUAUUCGGAAUUGGCGUGAUUUUUAUCUUCCGAUAGAUGACGCAACAUUGUUAUCACAAAUGUUGGCUCAAUCCGCCAAGGGUGAAGAGAGCGGGAGUGGAUCGUAACCCUUGGCUAGCGAAGAUGA